rnacentral:rRNA from 1 species
GACGAACGCUGGCGGCGUGCUUAACACAUGCAAGUCGAACGGAAAGGCGCUGCUUUUGUGGGGUUCUCGAGUGGGGAACGGGUGAGUAACACGUGAGUAACCUGCACUUGACUGUGUGAUAACUUCAGGAAACUCGGGCUAAUACCGGGGAGAAUCUCCUGCUGCAUGUGGGGGGUUGGAGAGUUUCGGCGGUGGGGUCUGGACUAGCGGCGUAUCAGCUUCUUGGUGGGGUAGUGGCUUACCAAGGCUUUGACGGGUAGCGUGCCUGAGAGGGUGACACGCCAUAUUGGGACCGAGAUGAGGCACCGAUUCCGAAGGGAGGGAACAGUGGGGAAUACUGCCCGAUGGGCGGAAGCCUGAUGAUGCAAGGCUGCGUGCCGGAUGACGGUCUUAGGGGUGUAGAACGAUUUCGUAUGUGACGAAGCGUGAGUGACGGUAACGGGUACAGAAGCACCGGGUAAAUAAGUG